rnacentral:rRNA from 1 species
GACGAACGCUGGCGGCGUGCUUAACACAUGCAAGUCGAACGGAAAGGCCCCUUUGGGGGUACUCGAGUGGCGCACGGGGGAGUAACACGUGAGUAACCUGCCCUUGACUUCGGGAUAACUUCAGGAAACUGGGGCUAAUACCGGAUAGGAAUCCUUGCUGCAUGGUGGGGGUUGGAAAGCUUCGGCGGUUUUGGAUGGACUCGCGGCUUAUCAGCGUGUUGGUGGGGUAGUGGCUUACCAAGGCUUUGACGGGUAGCCGGCCUGUGAGAGCGACCGGCCACUGUGGGACUGUGAUACGGCCCAGACUCCUACGGGUGGCAGCAGUGGGGAAUUUUGCACCAUGGGCGGAAGCCUGAUGCAGCAGCGCCGCGUGCGGGAUGCCGGCCUUCGGGUUGUAAACCGCUUUCAGCAGGGGCGAAGCUUGUGGUGACGGUACCUGCAGAAGAAGCACCGGCUAACUACGUG